rnacentral:rRNA from 1 species
GACGAACGCUGGCGGCGUGCUUAACACAUGCAAGUCGAACGGAAAGGCCCUGCUUUUGUGGGGUGCUCGAGUGGCGAACGGGUGAGUAACACGUGAGUAACCUGCCCUUGACUUUGGGAUAACUUCAGGAAACUGGGGCUAAUACCGGAUAGGAGCUCCUGCUGCAUGGUGGGGGUUGGAAAGUUUCGGCGGUUGGGGAUGGACUCGCGGCUUAUCAGCUUGUUGGUGGGGUAGUGGCUUACCAAGGCUUUGACGGGUAGCCGGCCUGAGAGGGUGACCGGCCACAUUGGGACUGAGAUACGGCCCAGACUCCUACGGGAGGCAGCAGUGGGGAAUAUUGCACAAUGGGCGGAAGCCUGAUGCAGCAACGCCGCGUGCGAGAUGACGGCCUUCGGGUUGUAAACCGCUUUCGCCUGUGACGAAGCGUAAGUGACGGUAAUGGGUAAAGAAGCACCGGCUAACUACGUG